rnacentral:lncRNA from 1 species
GAGAAUACUGCACUGAGUGUGCAUUUACGUGGUUCUUGUGUAUCGCCGCCCAAGAUCUUCCGAUUCGGCAUCUGCUUUGUAGCCAGAGACUCCAGCGAGUCAUACGUGCCCUCGAAGCAGACACAUGCCACCUUAGUACCUGCUGGAUGCCCAGUAAGGACUGACUGAACUCGGCUGAACUGAUGUUACGUUUGACGUCCCCAGGAGAAGACUCGUCUGUGUCAACUGUCCUCACUGGAAAUAGCUGCUGAGGCAGAAGCAUCUAGCAUCAAGGUACCUAUUUCCAUCUGAUUUGGCUUUUGUACUUGAACAAGGGUCUGACCUUCCCAGUAAUCUUCACAAAUAUCAUCUGUAAUCCAUGAGACUUGCCACUGUUCCUAAGGACGAUUGUUAACCAUGGUGUUACUGAUCCAGUGGAAAGUACAUUUUAUAGAAACUUACCAGGGGUAUUUUGCGACACUGAAAUUUGAUGUCUAUUGUCUCAAUGUGGAAUGUUAAACCCAGCGAUUGGUGCUGAUGAGCGAAUGUGAACCAAUGAGCCAUCAGACAGAAUUCUCCCCCAUUAUCUGUGAUUUUGGUUGCCUGUGCUCAAUAGCGUCCUGGAAGCUGAUGCUCCUGCUUAUGUAUCGCAAAGAGAUGAGACCCAACAGUCGCCAAAUCGCUUGUUGAGGAGAAAUUAGCAAAUGGAUCAAAUGAGCUGCAGCUGGCGUCUGGAAGAACGGAGCCCCUCCGAGAGAGACGUGAUUUCCAGUGGGUGCUCUGCUAGGUCCAGGAGGAGGCGAUUCUCAAGCCUUGAGCAGGGGUUGGGGGAUUUUGUUUUUCAGGAUAGCCCUGCUUUAUCCCCACCUAGGACCUCACCACCAGAGGCUUCUUGUACCACCAGUUCCCAAGUAUUUCUGGCAUUUGGGGCCCAGAGUUGUCCUAUUUCUUGGUUUUACUCCCCUGAGGAUGAGAUGUUCCAAGCUUCUCUGAUCUGGAUACAUUGGGAUUCAUCCAUCUGCUUCCCAGCUUAUGUUACUUUGUUGAAAUCUUGAACAUGUGGUCAUCUGCUCUCCUAUUUCUGUCUCGAAAAAUUUUGCCUCUUACCGACACAUUUUUUUUUUGUCUUCUUAGUGGGUUUAUGGGAAAUAACAGUUUUCAACUUGCUAUGUUUAACGAGGUAUCUGCAAAUGCACUCAUACUCAAAGUAGCCCGUGCUGGGCAACAGUGUAUUUGCCAUUAGCUACUUGCAUAAUCAAUUAAUUAACGUAGUCAAUCACAUCAUGAAUAUGCAUUAACUACUUUGUGACAUACACGAAUGUGCUUCUUUGCCGUAUCUUUUCAUUCUCUUCCCUUCCCUGGGGAUGUCCACCCUUUAUCCUCCAUGAACACAGUGCAAAGGUAGCAAUAGGAAUGAUUGAGUUGGAGUCAGUGAAGAGUUGGAUGAGGGCACAUUGCAUCUGAAAGAAAAAAAAUAUUGGCUGCACAAGUUCAACACGGUGCAGAUGUAGACUCAUUCUUCCAGACGUGGUUAUGUGCCACCUUCACUCUGAAGCCACACAGAUGUUCUGUUGCGUUAUGUUCCAUUGCUACUGCCUUCUCACCCCUAACUGAACGUUUAUAAAGUUGGGCAUCACGUGUGUGUCUACCUAUUGGCCUCUGAGAAAGAACGAUCAACAUUUCGAGCUUCCUCUAAUCUGUUGAACAACUUCAAACCCUUGUCAUCCUUUAGACCUGAUAUUUAAAGGCAGUCCAGUUAUACUGCCGAUUGAAAUAGUUUAACCAAGCAACACUGUUGCAUGUAUAAGAAAAACAUCUUUUUCUCUACUCUAGACCAGCAUCAACAGCACAUUUCGUUUUUUAAAAAAUCUCCUUCUGCAUACCUGAUACCAUACUGGCAUGACAUCCCAAGCAUUUACCUACCUGUCCUACCUACAUGAAUAUUUGCAGACUUGACAUUGCCAAUAUCAAUUGCAGAAGCAAGAAGUUACAAAGCGUGCAAUUUGAAUCUUGUUUCUGAAAUUAGAAUAUGUCUGAACUGCAGUCGGUUUUUAAAAUAGAUCUCCCACAAUGGAACAUUCAGACUCCAAAAAUUUUAGGGAUGAUUGUCUUUACAUAAAUAUGCAUUAUGUUCCUUAUAUCAUGCAAUGUGGCUAUCACAUGCAUGUUGAAGCGUAAGAUUCCUAUUGUCAAACUCCUUUUAUUUAAGUGUAACCACAGAAACAUAGGCGAUAAUAAAUUACUUGAGAAGAGAAACACAGUUGACCCUUGAACAACAUGGAUCUGACCCGUGUGGGUCCACUUAUAUGUGGAUAUCUUUUCUAUAAAUACAGUACAGUACUAUAAAUGCAUUUUCUCCUCCCUAUGAUUUUCUUAACAUUUUCUUUAGCUAACUUUAUUGUAAGAAUAUAGUGUGCUAUCAUAUGAUAUGCAAGUUAUAUGUUAAUUGGCUGUUAUUGGUAAGGCUUCUGGUCAACAGUAGGCUAUUACUAGUCAAGUUUUGGGGGAGUCAAAGUUAUACAUAGGGUUUUGGCUGAAUGAGGGGGGGUCAGUGGCCCUGCCCCAUCAUUGAUCAAAUGUCAACCGUACACAGGAGAAUUCCUUUCACCACUGUAAGAUACAGACUGUAUUUAAAGCUAGAUUCGGAUUGCGUAGAAUUCAGACUGGUAGUGAAAAGCAAAACAAAAUCCCACUUACUCAGUGUGCUUGAACAUAAAAGAAUAGGGUCUAUCACCAUUAAGCAGGUGGGGAUAUUUUCCUCUACAUACUACAUAGUUGGACUACGGGACUACAUAGUCUUGGAUGGCAUCAGAAGGCAAGGAUUCUUCCACCUUCUUCCACCUCCAGCAUAUUUUCAUGACUUAAGAUAGACCCAUAACCUCUGGUUAGAUCUGGGUGGAUCUUUAAGCACCCAGGACAUUGUGGUCAGGACAUUUGUGGAUAUGAGUCAGACAACUGUCAAUCCCAGGAGGUGCGGAGAAAUGUAGCCUGUGCUCCCACUGGCCAGGGCUGGACAAAGAAUUCAGUUCAUUAACAGAAGAAGAAGACUGACAUGGAUAUUGAGGACAGUCUAGCAGUGUUGGCUCUGUGGUGGAAGGGAGGUAUUGUUGAUCAUUUCUGAAUGGACAAGCACAAGCUUCUCUUGAAUAAAUACAGA